AAUCAUCCACGAGGAAACAACUCAGUGGGGAAGAGGAGAAAGGUUAAAGUCUUUCUUCCUAAGGAACUGACGCUCUACAACUGAGGGAGGACAGACACCGGAAUUUGUAUGGGGAUGAAGUACCGCCAUAAAGGGAAUGAGUAUCUCAAACCAACAAGUUAAUAAGAUAUGCAAAUAUGUAAUUAUGAAAUUAUAUGAAUGUAUA
rnacentral:lncRNA from 1 species